rnacentral:rRNA from 1 species
UGUGUCUGCCGCCGCGGUAAUACGUAGGUGGCAAGCGUUAUCCGGAAUUAUUGGGCGUAAAGCGCGCGUAGGCGGUUUUUUAAGUCUGAUGUGAAAGCCCACGGCUCAACCGUGGAGGGUCAUUGGAAACUGGAAAACUUGAGUGCAGAAGAGGAAAGUGGAAUUCCAUGUGUAGCGGUGAAAUGCGCAGAGAUAUGGAGGAACACCAGUGGCGAAGGCGGCUUUCUGGUCUGCAACUGACGCUGAUGGCUUUAUUCUUACUAAUGCCUCC